ACCAGUCAGUUUCCACACCAAACGAGCAAAAAUCAACAGUUGGCCUACAUCAAACACCGGAUAAGCGGAAAACUGCAUCACCAUCCACAUCUCUAUCUCCCAGAAAAGUGCUAUUGCGCCGGAAGGUUAAAGCUCUAAAGCAAAAAUU